GGCCCCAUGGUCAAGCGGUUAAGACGGCGCCCUCUCAAGGCGCAAUCACGAGUUCGAUUCUCGUUGGGGUCACCA
rnacentral:tRNA from 1 species